UACGUAGGGUGCGAGCGUUAAUCGGAAUUACUGGGCGUAAAGCGUGCGCAGGCGGUUCGUCGUGUCUGAUGUGAAAGCCCCGGGCUCAACCUGGGAAUGGCAUUGGAAACUGGCGGACUAGAGUGUGGCAGAGGGGGGUGGAAUUCCGCGUGUAGCAGUGAAAUGCGUAGAUAUGUGGAGGAACACCGAUGGCGAAGGCAGCCCCCUGGGUUAACACUGACGCUCAUGCACGAAAGCGUGGGGAGCAAACAGG
rnacentral:rRNA from 1 species